ACCUAUUUAUCUACUUGCACUUUGACGUGCUUUCGAACUGCUAGGUUGGCAGGAGCAGGGACUGAGCAACGGGAGCUCACCCCGUCAUGGGGAUUCGAACUGCUGACCUUCUGAUCGGCAAGUCCUAGGUUCUGUGGUUUAACCCACAGCACCACCCGCGUCCCUUCAAAUGUUCAUAAACUGCACUUUCGGAAUGUGAGUGUGUGUAAGCGAAGACAGAGGCGUCAGCAAUGCAAAUAGAAAAGCUUCAAUAGCAUAUCCAUAAACUUGACUGGUAAAACAAAAUGGAAGUUCCUAAGGCCCAUCCAAACACCUCCCACCAGUCUUCUGUUGGCAGGGAGUUCCACAGGGCAGCGUUGGCUCACACUAAAGGCUCAGUGCCCUGGUGAAGGCCAACCCCAGGGGCAUGGGCAACUGCCACAUGGUAUGCUGCCAUCUUUGGCAAUCACUUGUAGCCAGGUAAGAUGGACUUCCAUGAACACAGUCUUGACAGUGAGGCCGUAAGUGACCAUGGAGGCCGAUUCUGGAUCCACCCAUCCUUCCACAGUGGAGACGUUUCCAGGUGGGAGUUGAUCACAGUGAGGGUUUGCCAAACAUGCUGCCAUAUGCAGGACUAAACAGCAUCCUGCCCCACAACUCUUAACGAGGCUCUGGCCUAUUUUGUUUGCAGUUGUUGCCCUGUUCAAGACGAAGCAAGAAGUAUUCAUAUGGCAAAUAUAAACACCCCAGAUUGAUCAGACUUCCCCCUUGGCAGGGGUGCCAUUGAGACUCCCAGUGUGUGUUUAUGUGUGGAGGAGGUGCCAGAAAGGGUCUUUUGACUCAUGUGAAAUAAAGCCUAGUUUCGCCCCUGCCCUUGGGCAUUUGGGGCUUUUCUAGGCUUCAGCAGUCAGAAUGCUACUAGCCCAGAGAUGGAAGGAAGAAGUACCAACAGAAGAACAAUGGCAGAUGAAAUUGAUGCAGUAUGCAGAAAUGGCGAAACUGACUGGGAAGAUCCGAAACCAGGAAGAUCAAGUAUUUUCUAAAGACUGGACUUCCCCCUCUCUACCUAUUCAUCUGCCAUCCGAGGAUAACACUCCAUUCAUCAAAUGUGAUGGACUCUACUCCAGAUAAGCUUAUAGCCACAGUGAUGGAACUGAAUUAAAUACACACCUUCAGAAAAGAAGCUACUUGUUUGGCGGAGAUGCCUUCGACUUUCCCAAGGUCCUCUACCUGAGAAAAGGAGGAAGGAGAAAUGUGUAGGUUACACAAAGUUGCAAAGUCAUGGAGAUACUUAAUUAUUGAAUUUGUAUACCACCCCUCA